CACUGCCCCCACUAUUUGCUCACUGACCAAGAGCCUUCUAGUCUGGAAGGAAAACAUCUUUUUCUUUUCUGCUUCUGUUUUUGGCCUCUGGUCAGAUAGCAGUCCACAUUCCUGAUUGUUUUCCCCAGAGCAUCUAAAUAAAAGGAUUCCAUAAAACCUGAAAGAAUUCCCUACCUCAACAUGUGACUCACCUUCUAAUCUGGAUGAUAACAGCUAGUCUUCAUGCAGAAGGAUUCUCAACCACUGGACAACCAAGGAAUUUCAAGAACUCUUUCUGAGACAAUGUCUAGUAUCUGGGGGUAGUGACAGAUUUGCUGCGCCCUCCUAUGGGUGUGCUGCGUCGCAGCAGGCAAAGGUGAGAAGCUCAAAGGUGAGAACGACAGGGGCUCUGUGCCUCUCACACCCGGGGACAUCCAAGCGUCUGCUGUUGGAAUUCCAGGCAGCGGUGAGGCG
ensembl:lncRNA